UGGGGAAUAUUGCACAAUGGGGGAAACCCUGAUCCAGCCAUCCCGCGUGUGCGAUGAAGGCCUUCGGGUUGUAAAGCACUUUUGGCAGGAAAGAAACGUCGCGGGUUAAUACCCCGCGAAACUGACGGUACCUGCAGAAUAAGCACCGGCUAACUACGUGCCAGCAGCCGCGGUAAUACGUAGGGUGCAAGCGUUAAUCGGAAUUACUGGGCGUAAAGCGUGCGCAGGCGGUUCGGAAAGAAAGAUGUGAAAUCCCAGAGCUUAACUUUGGAACUGCAUUUUUAACUACCGGGCUAGAGUGUGUCAGAGGGAGGUGGAAUUCCGCGUGUAGCAGUGAAAUGCGUAGAUAUGCGGAGGAACACCGAUGGCGAAGGCAGCCUCCUGGGAUAACACUGACGCUCAUGCACGAAAGCGUGGGGAGCAAACAGGAUUAGAUACCCUGGUAGUCCACGCCCUAAACGAUGUCAACUAGCUGUUGGGGCCUUCGGGCCUUGGUAGCGCAGCUAACGCGUGAAGUUGACCGCCUGGGGAGUACGGUCGCAAGAUUAAAAACUCAAAGGAAUUGAC
rnacentral:rRNA from 1 species